rnacentral:ncRNA from 2 species
UUGUGUCAAGGGCAAACUUGUCGAAAGGCAAGGACGCAAAGCCAUAGGGUCUAAGGUGCUAUAUUGCAUUAUGACAGCCUAGUUGCCGCU